rnacentral:rRNA from 1 species
AGUGAACGCUGGCGGUAGGCCUAACACAUGCAAGUCGAACGGCAGCACAGUAAGAGCUUGCUCUUACGGGUGGCGAGUGGCGGACGGGUGAGGAAUACAUCGGAAUCUACUUUUUCGUGGGGGAUAACGUAGGGAAACUUACGCUAAUACCGCAUACGACCUACGGGUGAAAGCAGUGGAUCUUCGGACCUUGCGCGAUUGAAUGAGCCGAUGUCGGAUUAGCUAGUUGGCGGGGUACAGGCCCACCAAGGCGACGGUCCGUAGCUGGUCUGAGAGGAUGAUCAGCGACACUGGAACUGAGACACGGGCCAGACUCCGACGGGGAGCAGCAGUGGGGAAUAUUGGACAAUGGGCGCAAGCCUGAUCCAGCCAUACCGCGUGGGUGAAGAAGGCCUUCGGGUUGUAAAGCCCUUUUGUUGGGAAAGAAAAGCAGCAGGUUAAUACCCCGCUGUUAUGACGGUACCCAAAGAAUAAGCACCGGCUAACUUCGUG